rnacentral:lncRNA from 1 species
UUAAUUUCUGUAUGCCUGUGGCAAAUCCAGAAUUUUUUUAAAGGGACCCGUACAAAUCAUGCUUCAGUGAUUUGAUCCCUAAAUAGAUUAAUCAAACAAAAUUUUAUCAAAAAGGGAAUGCCCGGGCCCAUUUGCCCCAUCCCCCUUAAUCCUCCUCAAAAUAAAACUUUAAGGAGACCAUACACAAAACAAAAAAAAUAUACAAUUAUCAUAAUUAUAAUUCGCAUUAAGUAUGAAAUUAUUACUUACAAUAAAAUUUUCAAAAUUCUAUUCCUGUAUGUCAUCAUGGUCAUUGUGAAAUACAAUACUAACAUCCUUCUAAUUAUUUCACUUUUAUUUACACUAAU